GCCUUUAUAGUCAAUCUUUAACCAUUUUUCAUAAAUCUAAGUAAUCUUUUACAAAAUCUCGACUGAAACUACUAGGCCACAAUCAUCUUUGGGGUAUCUAGUUUGAAAAAUGUGUCCGAUGACCUGGCCAUUCAACCAAGAUGGCCGCCACGGCUAAAAAUAGAACAUAGGGGUAAAAUGCAGUUUUUGGCUUAUAACUAUGAAACCAACGCAUCUAGAGCAAAUCUGACUGAAGUUAUAUUGUUAAUCAAGUCAAUAUCUAUCUGCCCUGAAUUUUUCAGAUGAAUUGGACAACUGGUUGUUGGGUUGCUGCCCUCCAAUUGGUAAUUUUUAAAGAAAUUUUGCCGUUUUUGGUUAUCUUGAAUACUAUUAUAGAUAGCGAUAAACUGUAAACAACAAUAAUGUUCAGCAAAGUAAGAUCUACAAAUAAGUCAACAUGACCUAAAUGGUCAAUUGACCCCUUAAGGAGUUAUUGCCCUUUAUAGUCAAUUUUUAACAAUUUUCAUUAAUUUGGUAAAUUUAUGUAAAUUUUUACCAAAUAUAGUUCUCUGUUACUAAAUGGGCAAAGUUCAUAAUAGAUAUAAUUGUUAAGAAGCAAAUCGUUCAGUAAAGUAAGAACUUCAAACACAUCACCAUCACCAAAAUACAAUUUUGUCAUGAAUCCAUUUGUGUCCUUUGUUUAAUAUGCACAUAGACCAAGGUGAGCGACACAGGCUCUUUAGAGCCUCUAGUUUCUUCUUUAUGUUGUUAUU
rnacentral:lncRNA from 1 species